rfam:Rhodotorula toruloides ATCC 204091 scaffold00008, whole genome shotgun sequence.
GCACUGGUGGUUUAGUGGUAAAAUUGGACAUUGCCAGCUUACUGAAUUUGUCUAGCCCCGGGUUCGAUUCCCGGCCAGUGCA